UACGUAGGGGGCAAGCGUUAUCCGGAUUUACUGGGUGUAAAGGGGGCGCAGACGGCGAUGCAAGCCAGGAGUGAAAGCCCGGGGCCCAACCCCGGGACUGCUCUUGGAACUGCGUGGCUGGAGUGUCGGAGAGGCAGGCGGAAUUCCUAGUGUAGCGGUGAAAUGCGUAGAUAUUAGGAGGAACACCAGUGGCGAAGGCGGCCUGCUGGACGAUGACUGACGUUGAGGCUCGAAAGCGUGGGGAGCAAACAGG
rnacentral:rRNA from 1 species